UGAAAGACUUGUAGGAAAAGAUAUUAGAAUUUCAAUAAGCUUCACGAGUACCACAAGGCACGAGAAACCUGGUGGGAACAUGGGAGGACCACCUCCCAAGGCUAAAUACUACUUGGUGACCGAUAGAGAACAGUACCGUGAGGGAAAGGUAAAAAGAACCCCGAAAGGGGAGUGAAAUAGAACCUGAAACCCUGCGUUUACAAGCAAAGAAAGCACGUGAAAAGUGCAAUCUUGUACUUUUUGUAGAACGGGCCAGCGAGUUACUUUUGUAAGCAAGGUUAAGAAGUUAAGCUUCGAAGCCGAAGAGAAAUCAAGUCUUAAUAGGGCGAAAUAGUUUACAGGAGUAGACCCGAAACCAGGUGACCUAUCCAUGAGCAGAGUGAAGUUAAAGUAAAAUUUAAUGGAGGCUCGAACCGGGUGUGGUUUAAAACACAUCGGAUGACUUGUGGAUAGGGGUGAAAAGCCAAUCGAACCUGGAGAUAGCUGGUUCUCCUCGAAAUAGCUUUAGGGCUAGCCUUUAGGAUGUUUAAUGGAGGUAGAGCUACUGACUGGUUGCGGGGUGUUUAUACAUUACCAAAACCUAUCAAACUCCGAAUGCCAAGAAAACAAACCUAAGGAGUCAGACAUAGUGGGAUAAGCUUCUAUGUCAAAAGGGAAAGAGCCCAGACCAUCAGCUAAGGUCCCCAAAUACCGAUUAAGUGGUAAAGGAUGUGAAGUUACCCAAACAACUAGGAUGUUGGCUUAGAAGCAGCCAUACAUUUAAAGAGUGCGUAAUAGCUCACUAGUCGAGUGACCUUGCGCCGAAGAUUUCCGGGGCUAAAUCGGAUACCGAAGCUGUGGACUCUGUAAGAGCGGUAGAGGAGCAUUGUGUAAUAGGCAGAAGCAGUAUCGAAAGGCGCUGUGGACGAAACACAAGAGAGAAUGCUGGCAUAAGUAGCGAGAAGGAGUGUGAGAAUCACUCCCGUCGAAAACCUAAGGGUUCCUGAGCAAGGCUCGUCCCCUCAGGGUAAGUCGGGACCUAAGGCGAGGCCGAAAGGCGUAGCCGAUGGACAACUAGUAAAAAUUCUAGUACUAUCAAAUAUCGUAUAAAUGAAGCGGGGACACAGAAGGAUAAGCUAAGCGUACCAGAUGGACGAGUACGCUCAAAUAAAAAGGCAUGCCAGGACUAAUAACCAGGCUAAGCCAAUUUAUGAUGAGGAUCGAAAACAAGUAGAGAAGUAGCCGAUUUCACACUGUCAAGAAAAGCCGCUAAAUAGAUAAAUGAUACCCGUACCGUAAACCGACACAGGUAGGAAAGGAGAGAAUCCUAAGACGCGCGGAAGAACCUUUGUUAAGGAACUCGGCAAAAUGACCCCGUAAGUUAGCGAGAAGGGGAGCCAGAGCGAUCUGGCCGCAGUGAAUAGGCCCAAGCGACUGUUUACCAAAAACACAAGUUUCUGCUAAGUCGAAAGACGACGUAUAGGAGCUGACACCUGCCCGGUGCUGGAAGGUUAAGGGGAAAUGUUAGCCUCAGGCGAAGCAUAGAACUUAAGCCCCAGUAAACGGCGGCCGUAACUAUAACGGUCCUAAGGUAGCGAAAUUCCUUGUCGGGUAAGUUCCGACCCGCACGAAAGGUGUAAC
rnacentral:rRNA from 1 species